rnacentral:lncRNA from 1 species
CUGUCCAUCUCCAGAAUGCUGGCUUCAGCAGGCACCAGAAACAGUGUGCCCCCAAGCCUCCUCCCACAGCCCUGCUACAGUUGGAAGGCCUCUUCUUCUGUGAUGGAUACUUCCCAUUCUCCAUGCUUCCUCACCUCUGUGCACAUUUCAACAAGCAAGGUCAGGCCACUAGCCUCGGGAUUACAUUAAGAAAAGGAUUUAUUUAUUUUUAACAUGUACCUACUCAUUUUCAAGGAAGUGGCCUUUGAAGAGGACAAAUGAAGCUGAUAAUCACUGCUGAAUCCAGAAAGCUCAUUCAGAAGUCUUUUUGCACUGCCUUCUGCCAGCCUCCAGGACCGUACACAUGAGUGACAGCCUCUAUCUAGUGUUUGAGUGUAUGAACCUUUAAUCCAUCAAGAUGCUUCUAAAAUUGAGAGGGUACCUCCACCACGUGCUCGCACCUUCCUGUACAAACCCCCUCAUCUUGGGACCCAUGGAAAUGCCACCACACUGGAAGCCAGCUGAAUAUAUUUUUCUAAUCUCAUCCAGACUUUAUGGCUAUAAUUUGGCUGCUGACACAAUUUUAAAUUAGCUUUUGCUUCAAUGAA